rnacentral:rRNA from 1 species
AGCAGCCGCGGUAAUUCCAGCUCCAAUAGCGUAUAUUAAAGUUGUUGCAGUUAAAAAGCUCGUAGUUGAAUUUCGGAAUAAGCAGGUCGGUCGUGCCACAGGUAUGUACUGGUCUUGCUGAUUCCUCCCUCUUGACGAGCCGUAAUGCCAUUAAUUUGGUGUUGCGGGGAAUCAGGACUGUUACUUUGAAAAAAUUAGAGUGUUUAAAGCAGGCGCUCCUGGGUAAGCAGGUCGGUCGUGCCACAGGUAUGUACUGGUCUUGCUGAUUCCUCCCUCUUGACGAGCCGUAAUGCCAUUAAUUUGGUGUUGCGGGGAAUCAGGACUGUUACUUUGAAAAAAU